GGAUGCGAUCAUACCAGCACUAAAGCACCAGAUCCCAUCAAAACUUCGAAGUUAAGCGUGCUUGGGCGAGAGUAGUACUAGGAUGGGUGACCUCCUGGGAAGUCCUCGUGUUGCAUUCC
rnacentral:rRNA from 1 species